rnacentral:rRNA from 1 species
GGAUGAACGCUGGCGGCGUGCUUAACCCAUGCAAGUCGAACGGAAAGGCUCCUGCUUGCAGGGGUACUCGAGUGGCGAACGGGUGAGUAACACGUGGGUGAUCUGCCCUGCACUUCGGGAUAAGCCUGGGAAACUGGGUCUAAUACCGGAUAGGACGAUGGUUUGGAUGCCAUUGUGGAAAGUUUUUUCGGUGUGGGAUGAGCUCGCGGCCUAUCAGCUUGUUGGUGGGGUAAUGGCCUACCAAGGCGUCGACGGGUAGCCGGCCUGAGAGGGUGUACGGCCACAUUGGGACUGAGAUACGGCCCAGACUCCUACGGGAGGCAGCAGUGGGGAAUAUUGCACAAUGGGCGCAAGCCUGAUGCAGCGACGCCGCAUGGGGGAUGACGGCCUUCGGGUUGUAAACUCCUUUCGCUAGGGACGAAGCGCAAGUGACGGUACCUGGAGAAGAAGCACCGGCUAACUACGUG